UGGCGUAAACAAAGGGAGGCGAGCCCNCGAGGGGAGCGAAUCCCAAAAAUAACGUCCCAGUUCGGACUGUAGUCUGCAACCCGACUACACGAAGCUGGAAUCGCUAGUAAUCGCGAAUCAGAACGUCGCGGUGAAUACGUUCCCGGGUCUUGUACACACCGCCCGUCACACCAUGGGAGUCGGGAAUGCCCGAAGCCGGUGACCCAACCGAAAGGAGGGAGCCGUCGAAGGCAGGUCUGAUAACUGGGGUGAAGUCGUAACAAGGUAGC
rnacentral:rRNA from 1 species